rnacentral:rRNA from 1 species
AUUGAACGCUGGCGGAAUGCUUUACACAUGCAAGUCGAACGGCAGCACGGACUUCGGUCUGGUGGCGAGUGGCGAACGGGUGAGUAAUGUAUCGGAACGUGCCCAGUCGUGGGGGAUAACGUAGUGAAAAUUACGCUAAUACCGCAUACGAUCUAUGGAUGAAGCGGGGGAUCGCAAGACCUCGCGCGAUUGGAGCGGCCGAUAUCAGAUUAGGUAGGUGGUGGGGUAAAGGCCCACCAAGCCAACGAUCUGUAGCUGGUCUGAGAGGACGACCAGCCACACUGGAACUGAGACACGGUCCAGACUCCUACGGGAGGCAGCAGUGGGGAAUUUUGGACAAUGGGCGAAAGCCUGAUCCAGCCAUUCCGCGUGCAGGAUGAAGGCCCUCGGGUUGUAAACUGCUUUUGUACAGAACGAAAAGGUUUCUACUAAUACUAGGAGCUCAUGACGGUGCUGUAAGAAUAAGCACCGGCUAACUACGUGCCAGCCGCCGCGGUAA